AUGUUUGAAAAUGUUGUGGCAAUGUUUAAUCAUUUUGAUAUGACCUCUAAUCUUGGUGAUGAUUCAUCAAGGUUGGGAUUGUUUAAUGAUGAGCAUUGCCAAUAUUUUGUUAUGAAUACGAGCUUCACUUAUAUGUGCAAACUGAUUUGCAAUAUUUUCAUGCCUUUGACUUCUUAUGAUAAUAUAUUGGCUAUAUAUUUCAUGACUUUUGAAGGGUGCUCUUGUAUAACUAUGUCACAUGUGCCCCAGCUAAGAUUAGUAAAAAUGGAUGACAUAUACAUAUACAAUGUGUACACCUUGUCUCUUUUGUUAGCCACAUUUCAGAUUAAGCAACGCCGAGGACGGCUUUGUUUUCAAGAAUGGGAGGAUGAUGAGGAUAUGGCUACCACAAUUACACCCAUAUCCCCUGCUGUUUUAACUUUUGGGAGAAUUGCUAGAGCUCGCCUACGCUAA
rnacentral:rRNA from 1 species